GUGGGGAAUAUUGGACAAUGGGCGAAAGCCUGAUCCAGCCAUGCCGCGUGUGUGAAGAAGGUCUUCGGAUUGUAAAGCACUUUAAGUUGGGAGGAAGGGCAGUAAGUUAAUACCUUGCUGUUUUGACGUUACCGACAGAAUAAGCACCGGCUAACUUCGUGCCAGCAGCCGCGGUAAUACGAAGGGUGCAAGCGUUAAUCGGAAUUACUGGGCGUAAAGCGCGCGUAGGUGGUUCAGCAAGUUGAAGGUGAAAGCCCCGGGCUCAACCUGGGAACUGCCUCCAAAACUACUGAGCUAGAGUACGGUAGAGGGUAGUGGAAUUUCCUGUGUAGCGGUGAAAUGCGUAGAUAUAGGAAGGAACACCAGUGGCGAAGGCGACUACCUGGACUGAUACUGACACUGAGGUGCGAAAGCGUGGGGAGCAAACAGGAUUAGAAACCCUUGUAGUCC
rnacentral:rRNA from 1 species